rnacentral:lncRNA from 1 species
GACCCUCUGACCUACACAAAGUCUCCUGACAGUCAAAAGCAUUUCCUUGGUUUCUUGCUGCAGGUGUCUUAUGAAAAUAAGGCUUUAUUUGGAGUUGCUGAGCAUCAUGAACUUCUGAACAUUAAGCUCAGUGGAAAUUAAGACAAAACAUCCCACAGCUCUGUGCUAAAAAGGAGUCCUAAGAGCUCUGAAGUUAUUGAUCAAAUCUUCCUCACAAAUCCUAAUGGAACCACAAGAGCAUGUGAUACAGCUCUGAGCAGUCUCCAUGUUGCUAAUGAAUGCACUUCAAGAAAACGGGAUUUGUUUCAGCUUCAUGUAGCUCAUACAGAUGCUUUGAAGACACAUGAAAUGAUAAUUUUGGCAUUAUUAGAGAUAAGAGUCUUCUCAGGGCCUGUGGUACCAACCUAAUUUUUUUUCACGAAAGCUGCUAGUGUAAACCCAUGACUCUCUUCUGAAUCAGCACAUCACAUUUGUUGCGUUCUGCAGAAAGGAGAAAACAGCAGAAGAUAAUGGACCGUGAUAGCACCACAGCUCUGGGAAACGGAGCAAUGGAAAUAGCAGCAAAGGGUGCUGGAGCAUCGUCUGGAAGAACGUGCAGCUCUGAGCUCAUGUUCAACCUGAUGGAAAUGAAUCAGCUUCUCUCGAGCCUUUGCAAAUGUUCCUCAGACUUCGCCCAAGGAAAUCAAGCUUUGGCAAGUGCUUAGAAUCAUAGAAUCAGCAAGGUUGGGAAAUACUUUCAAGAUCAUUAACUACAACCAUUAACCUGGCCUACUGAGCCCCUUCACUAAGCCAUGUCCCCUAGUGCUAUGUGGUAUCACUGACACAGCAUUGUGGUAUCAGAGACAUUCGCAGAUCACUCUUUGAUGGUUUGACUGAAAUACACCAAAUGUUCAACCAUUUCACAGAACAGCUUUUGGUGGAAGAUGUAGUGUAUCAUCUUAGGGAUAUACUACCGGACUAGAAAUGCGUUCCUGCUCUAGACUUCAGCAGGAAGGUUUUGUUAUGUAGAAAAAAAAUCCUAGGUUUUAAGUGACUUACAUUCACUUUUAAGUGAGAGAUAUCUCAUUGCAGUAUGUUACAAAGACUGUCUCUUUCCAACAAAGUGUUGUCAUAUCACGAUGCAUCCAAAGCUCCUUAAAUGCUCACAGUGGUACCACCUCAUGCCCAUUUGUGCAGCCUUUGCUUGGGCUAGUUUCACUCCACAAUAAACUCUUCCGAUGUUUGAAUUUGGCUGAAGCU